ACGGAGGAUGCAAGCGUUAUCCGGAUUCAUUGGGUUUAAAGGGUGCGCAGGCGGAAUGAUAAGUCAGUGGUGAAAUCCUACAGCUUAACUGUAGAACUGCCAUUGAUACUGUCGUUCUUGAGUACAGUUGGAGUGGGCGGAAUGUGUCAUGUAGCGGUGAAAUGCUUAGAUAUGACACAGAACACCAGUCGCGAAGGCAGCUCGCUAAACUGUAACUGACGCUCAUGCACGAAAGCGUGGGGAUCAAACAGGAUUAGAUACCCUGGUAGUCCACGCUGUAAACGAUGAUUACUCGAUGUUGGCGAUAUACAGUCAGCGUCUAAGGGAAACCAUUAAGUAAUCCACCUGGGGAGUACGGCCGCAAGGUUG
rnacentral:rRNA from 1 species